rnacentral:rRNA from 1 species
UACAGAGGGGGCAAGCGUUGUUCGGAAUUACUGGGCGUAAAGGGCGCGUAGGCGGCCUUCUAAGUCGAACGUGAAAUCCCCGGGCUUAACCCGGGAACUGCGUCCGAUACUGGAAGGCUUGAAUCCGGGAGAGGGAUGCGGAAUUCCAGGUGUAGCGGUGAAAUGCGUAGAUAUCUGGAGGAACACCGGUGGCGAAGGCGGCAGCCUGGACCGGUAUUGACGCUGAGGCGCGAAAGCCAGGGGAGCAAACGGG